rnacentral:rRNA from 1 species
AUGCAUGUCUAAGUUCAUAUUGCCUAUAAUGGUGAAACCGCGAACGGCUCAUUACAACAGCUAUUAUUUACUUGAUUUUGAUUUCUCCUACGUGGAUAACUGUGGUAAUUCUAGAGCUAAUACAUGCACCAAAGCUCGUUCAUCAUUUGAAGAGCGCAUCUAUCAGAAUAAAACCAAUCGAGUUGUGCGUGGCGCGUAUGUGGUCGUGCGUUUUCUGCGCGCGUCUCACAACGUCACGUAUAUUCGCUCGUUUAUUGGUGACUCUGAAUAGCUUAGCUGAUCGCAUGGUCCAGAACCGGCGACGCAUCUAUCAAGUAUCUGCCUUAUCAACUUUCGAUGGUAGUUUAAAUGACUACCAUGGUUGUAACGGGUAACGGAGAAUAAGGGUUCGACUCCGGAGAGGGAGCCUGAGAAACGGCUACCACUUCCAAGGAAGGCAGCAGGCGCGCAAAUUACCCACUCUCAGCUCAGAGGAGGUAGUGACGAAAAAUAACGAGACCGUACUCAAUGAGGCCGGUUAUCGGAAUGGGUACAAUUUAAACCCGUUAACGAGGAUCUAUGAGAGGGCAAGUCUGGUGCCAGCAGCCGCGGUAAUUCCAGCUCUCAAAGUGUAUAUCGGCAUUGCUGCGGUUAAAAAGCUCGUAGUUGGAUUUCAGCCUUACGACGUGGUCCGCUCAUUGAGUGUGAACUACGCCUCGUAGGCUAUGUUUGUGUUGGUUUUCUCUUGCGUUGCUCUCAACGGCUGCGCAAGGUGGCUAACGAGUUUACCUUGAAAAAAUUAGAGUGCUCAACGCGGGCUCAAUACGCCUGAAUACUCGUGCAUGGAAUAAUGGAAUAGGAUCUCGGUUCUAUUUUGUUGGUUUUCUGAUCUGAGAUAAUGGUUAAGAGGGACAGACGGGGGCAUUCGUAUCGCUGCGUGAGAGGUGAAAUUCUUGGACCGUAGCGAGACGUCCCACUGCGAAAGCAUUUGCCAAGAAUG